rnacentral:rRNA from 1 species
UACGUAGGGGGCGAGCGUUGUCCGGAGUUACUGGGCGUAAAGCGCACGCAGGCGGUCUGUUAAGUUUGGAGUGACAGUUGGUGGCUUAACUGCCAAAGUGCUUCGAAAACUGACAGACUUGAGGGCUUCAGAGGGACACGGAAUUCCGGGUGGAGUGGUGGAAUGCGUAGAGAUCCGGAGGAACACCAAAGGCGAAGGCAGUGUCCUGGGGAGUACCUGACGCUCAGGUGCGAAAGCCAGGGGAGCGAACGGG